UACAGAGGGUGCAAGCGUUGUUCGGAAUUAUUGGGCGUAAAGGGCGCGUAGGCGGUGCCACAAGUCACCUGUGAAAUCUCCGGGCUUAACUCGGAGCCUGCAGGCGAAACUGUGGUGCUGGAGUGUGGGAGAGGUGCGUGGAAUUCCCGGUGUAGCAGUGAAAUGCGUAGAUAUCAGGAGGAACACCGAUGGCGAAGGCAGGUCUCUGGGCUGACACUGACGCUCAUGCACGAAAGCGUGGGGAGCAAACAGG
rnacentral:rRNA from 1 species